rnacentral:rRNA from 1 species
AGUGCCUUCGGGAGCUCGUAACACAGGUGCUGCAUGGCUGUCGUCAGCUCGUGUCGUGAGAUGUUGGGUUAAGUCCCGCAACGAGCGCAACCCUUGUCAUUAGUUGCCAUCAUUAAGUUGGGCACUCUAAUGAGACUGCCGGUGACAAGCCGGAGGAAGGUGGGGAUGACGUCAAGUCCUCAUGGCCCUUAUGACCAGGGCUUCACACGUCAUACAAUGGUCGGUACAGAGGGUAGCCAAGCCGCGAGGUGGAGCCAAUCUCACAAAACCGAUCGUAGUCCGGAUUGCACUCUGCAACUCGAGUGCAUGAAGUCGGAAUCGCUAGUAAUCGCAGGUCAGCAUACUGCGGUGAAUACGUUCCCGGGUC